AAAUGGGGCGCAGCCUGAUCUAGCCAUGCCGCGUGAGUGAUGAAGGCCUUAGGGUCGUAAAGCUCUUUCGCCUGUGAUGAUAAUGACAGUAGCAGGUAAAGAAACCCCGGCUAACUCCGUGCCAGCAGCCGCGGUAAUACGGAGGGGGUUAGCGUUGUUCGGAAUUACUGGGCGUAAAGCGCACGUAGGCGGAUUGGAAAGUUGGGGGUGAAAUCCCGGGGCUCAACCCCGGAACUGCCUCCAAAACUAUCAGUCUAGAGUUCGAGAGAGGUGAGUGGAAUUCCAAGUGUAGAGGUGAAAUUCGUAGAUAUUUGGAGGAACACCAGUGGCGAAGGCGGCUCACUGGCUCGAUACUGACGCUGAGGUGCGAAAGUGUGGGGAGCAAACAGGAUUAGAUACCCUGGUAGUCCACACCGUAAACGAUGAAUGCCAGUCGUCGGGCAGUAUACUGUUCGGUGACACACCUAACGGAUUAAGCAUUCCGCCUGGGGAGUACGGUCGCAAGAUUAAAACUCAAAGGAAUUGACGGG
rnacentral:rRNA from 1 species